rnacentral:rRNA from 1 species
GCGGAGGGAUCAUUACUGAGUGAGGGCCUUCGGGCUCGACCUCCAACCCUUUGUGAACACAACUUGUUGCUUCGGGGGCGACCCUGCCGUUUCGACGGCGAGCGCCCCCGGAGGCCUUCAAACACUGCAUCUUUGCGUCGGAGUUUAAGUAAAUUUAAACAAAACUUUCAACAACGGAUCUCUUGGUUCUGGCAUCGAUGAAGAACGCAGCGAAAUGCGAUAAGUAAUGUGAAUUGCAGAAUUCAGUGAAUCAUCGAAUCUUUGAACGCACAUUGCGCCCUCUGGUAUUCCGGAGGGCAUGCCUGUUCGAGCGUCAUUUCACCACUCAAGCCUGGCUUGGUAUUGGGCGCCGCGGUGUUCCGCGCGCCUCAAAGUCUCCGGCUGAGCUGUCCGUCUCCAAGCGUUGUGAUUUCAUUAAUCGCUUCGGGGUACGGGUGGCCGCGGCCGUUAAAUCUUUCACAAGGUUGACCUCGGAUCAGGUAGGGAUACCCGCUG